UACGUAGGGUGCGAGCGUUAAUCGGAAUUACUGGGCGUAAAGAGCGCGCAGGCGGUCGAUCAAGUCGAGUGUGAAAGCCCCCGGCUCAACUGGGGAGGGUCACUCGAUACUGAUCGACUUGAAGGCAGGAGAGGGAAGCGGAAUUCCCGGUGUAGUGGUGAAAUGCGUAGAUAUCGGGAGGAACACCAGUGGCGAAGGCGGCUUCCUGGCCUGUUCUUGACGCUGAGGCGCGGAAAGCUAGGGGAGCAACGGGGAUUAAGAAACCCCGGGUAGACCC
rnacentral:rRNA from 1 species